rnacentral:lncRNA from 1 species
GGUGAGGAAAGAAUGGUUCAUGGUCGGGAUAGUGGUGGCGAUCGGCGCCGCUAAGCUGGAGCCGUCGGUCGGAGUGAACGGGGGACCACUGAAGCCAGAGAUAACUGUGUCCUACAUUGCUGUUGCAACGAUAUUCUUCAACAGUGGACUGUCAUUGAAAACAGAGGAGCUGACCAGCGCACUGGUGCACUUGAAGCUGCAUCUCUUCAUCCAGGUCUUCACGCUUGCCUUCUUCCCAACAACAAUAUGGCUCUUUCUUCAGCUCCUAUCAGUCACGUCCAUCAACGAGUGGCUUUUAAAAGGUUUGCAGACAGUAGGCUGCAUGCCUCCCCCUGUGUCUUCUGCUGUGAUUCUAACCAAGGCAGUCGGAGGAAAUGAGGCAGCUGCAAUAUUUAAUUCAGCAUUUGGAAGU